rnacentral:lncRNA from 10 species
AAAAUAGGAUCAGCAACCUGGAUGAACUCACCAUUUUAUUACUUACAACAAUCACUUUUCAUAUCAUCCUAAUAAAAAAGCUUCCAGCCAGGUGCAGUGGCUCACGCCUGACUUUGGGAGGCCAAGGCAGGCAGAUCACUUGAACUCAGGAGUUAAGACCAGCCUGGCCAACAUGGUGACACCCUGUCUCUACUAAAAAUACAAAAAUUAGCUGCAGUUUUCCUUCCACACGCAUCACCUCAUCAAAAGACAGAUCUUCCUUAACAACAGACUAGAUACUUUGCAUUUCCCAUUUCCCUCUUCUCUACUUCUUUUAAACAAACACUAAGCUAAACUAGAUGUCUUAAUAAAAUCAGAUUUUUAUACAGCGUUUUCUCCAAUUUCAGAAAGUACUAUAAAUAAUCUACAACUAUUUUAUAAUACUUACCAUGGAGCAUAGAAUUCUACAAGCCACAAACUAUCACUCUGAAUAACUUCUCGGUUGAAAUUCGAUGGAGUUAAUUCGAUCACAUCAUCACUAGAGGAAUACAGACCAUUCACUGCCAGAAAGAAGGUACAGC